AAAUGUGAGUUUGAUCCUGGCUCAGGAUGAAUGCUGGCGGCGUACUUAAUACAUGCAAGUUGAACGAAUCUAUUAGGACUUGUUCUAAUAGAUUAGUAGCAAACGGGUGAGUAAUACAUAGGUAACAUGCCUCUAAGUCUGGGAUAACUUUUCGAAAGAAACGCUAAUACCGGAUACUCUUUUUCCUUCGCAUGUUGGAGAAAGGAAAGAUUUAUUGCUUAGAGAUUGACCUAUGCCUGAUUAGUUAGUUGGUAGGGUAACGGCCUACCAAGACUUUGAUCAGUAGCUGGUCUGAGAGGAUGAACAGCCACACUGGGACUGAGACACGGCCCAGACUCCUACGGGAGGCAGCAGUAGGGAAUAUUGCGCAAUGGGCGAAAGCCUGACGCAGUGACGCCGCGUGAGUGAUGACGUCUUUAGGGAUGUAAAGCUCUGUCAAGAGGGACGAUCGUGACGGUACCUCUAAAGGAAGCCCCGGCUAAAUACGUGCCAGCAGCCGCGGUAAUACGUAUGGGGCGAGCAUUAUCCGGAUUUAUUGGGCAUAAAGAGCACGUAGGUGGUAAAUUAAGUCUUAUGUUAAAGGCAUCGGCUCAACCGAUGUUUGCAUCAGAAACUGAUUUACUAGAGAACAAUAGAGGGAAGCGGAACUCACGGUGUAGCGGUGAAAUGCGUAGAUAUCGUGAGGAACACCAGUUGCGAAGGCGGCUUCCUGGAUUGAUUCUGACACUGAGGUGCGAAAGCAUGGGGAGCGAACGGGAUUAGAUACCCCGGUAGUCCAUGCCGUAAACGUUGUUCACUAGGUGUAGGAGGUAUCGACCCCUUCUGUGCCAAAGAUAAUUCGUUAAGUGAACCGCCUGGGAAGUACGACCGCAAGGUUAAAACUCAAAGGAAUUGACGGGGGCCCGCACAAGCAGUGGAGCAUGUGGUUUAAUUCGACGAUACGCGAAGAACCUUACCAGGGUUUGACAUCUGUAGAAUUCUCUAGAAACAGAGAAGUGCCCGCAAGGGAGCUACAAGACAGGUGGUGCAUGGCUGUCGGCAGCUCGUGUCGUGAGAUGUUGGGUUAAGUCCCGCAACGAGCGCAACCCCCAUUCUGUGUUGCCAGCACGUAAUGGUGGGAACUUACGGAAGACUGCCUGUGGUAAGCAGGAGGAAGGUGGGGACGACGUCAAGUCAUCAUGCCCCUUACACCCUGGGCCACACACAUGCUACAAUGGGUAGUACAAAGGGUUGCCAAGCCGCGAGGUGGAGCUAAUCUCAAAAAACUAUCCUCAGUUCGGAUUGCAGUCUGAAACUCGACUGCAUGAAGUUGGAAUUGCUAGUAAACGCAAAUCAGCUACGUUGCGUUGAAUACGUUCCCGGGCCUUGUACACACCGCCCGUCACACCAUGAGAGUCGGAAACACCCGAAGCCAAUGUGCUAACCCUCGGGAGGCAGUUGUCUAAGGUGGAGCUGGCGAUUGGGGUGAAGUCGUAACAAGGUAGCCGUACCGGAAGGUGUGGCUGGAUCACCUCCUUUCU
rnacentral:rRNA from 1 species